AGAGUUAAAUAGUACGUGAAAUUGUUGAAAGGGAAACGAUUGAAGCCAGUCGUACCUGUGGAUAAUCAGCCUUUUGGGUGUGAUUAUGUGGAGUGUAAGGAGCUAAUCGCCCUUAUUUUUGCAUAUUCGUGCACUUUGGGUGUACUUAUUCGUGUGGUUGGUUAACAUCAAUUUUGGUCAUCAUAAAAUGAUCGGAAGAAUGUAGCUUCGAUCUCGUAUUGAAGUGUUAUAGACUCUGGUAGAUGUGAUGAUCGGGAUUGAGGAUUGCAACGGAUACCCUUCGGGGCUACCCGUCUGAUCUCUGAGAGUUACUCUGGUGCUGAAAGUGUGCUUAUGGUAUCAAAGUUGACGUUCAAUAGGUUAGAACGGGUUAAAUUCGUUAAGGAUGUUGACGUAAUGGCUUUAAACGACC
rnacentral:rRNA from 1 species